rnacentral:rRNA from 1 species
AUGUUCGGCAAUUGGUUGAGGGGAAUAGAUAAACAAUUGUCUAAGCACAUUCUUGCGGGGGCGGCUGCCUUAUGUUGGGUGUUGUGGCUCACCAGGAAUGAUAUUGUUUUUAAUCAUAAAAGUGUUUCAUCUCCUAUGCAGGUAAUUCAUAUAUGCUCGCGAUGGCUCCGUAUGUGGUCUAUCCUGCAGAGGCCGGAGGACAGAGACCUUUUUUAUGAUGGCUUCUACCCGGUUGGAGUGCUCGGCCAGGGACAUUUUUUACCCCCAUGGAUGGCGGUGUGA